UUCCAUUCAAUUCCAUUCCAUUUAUUUCCAUUCUCUUCGAUUCCAUUUCUUUAUAUUCCAUACCAUUCAAUUCCAUUCUAUUAAAUUACAUUACAUUCAUAUUCAUUCCAUUCCAAACCAUUCCAUUUAACUCCAUUCCUUUCGAACCCUUUCAAUUUAAAUCCAUUCCUUUCCAAUCCAUUUCACUCCAAUCCAUUACUAUCCAUUCCAUACCAUUCCAUCCCAUUCCAUUCCAUUCCAUUCCAU
rnacentral:misc_RNA from 1 species